AGUGAACGCUGGCGGUAGGCCUAACACAUGCAAGUCGAACGGCAGCACAGUAAGAGCUUGCUCUUACGGGUGGCGAGUGGCGGACGGGUGAGGAAUACAUCGGAAUCUACUUUUUCGUGGGGGAUAACGUAGGGAAACUUACGCUAAUACCGCAUACGACCUACGGGUGAAAUCAGGGGAUAUUCGGACCUUGCGCGAUUGAAUGAGCCGAUGUCGGAUUAGCUAGUUGGCGGGGUAAAGGCCCACCAAGGCGACGAUCCGUAGCUGGUCUGAGAGGAUGAUCAGCCACACUGGAACUGAGACACGGUCCAGACUCCUACGGGAGGCAGCAGUGGGGAAUAUUGGGCAAUGGGCGCAAGCCUGAUCCAGCCAUACCGCGUGGGUGAAGAAGGCCUUCGGGUUGUAAAGCCCUUUUGUUGGGAAAGAAAAGCAGCAGGUUAAUACCCCGCUGUUCUGACGGUACCCAAAGAAUAAGCACCGGCUAACUUCGUG
rnacentral:rRNA from 1 species